CCAACCGCCACUGGAGUCAUCACGUGUCAUCACCACCGCACGAACACGCACACUGUCAGGGGGAAGCCAAGAGAGUGAGCAGAGGCCCAGGCUGAUUAAACAACGCACUGAUGUACACACACACACACACACACACAGAAGCAACUAAACAGACGAAAUCCACACAAAGAGGACGGAAGUGGCAGCUUGGCCUACGAGUGCUGGCGUUGCAACGUAAAGAGUUGCCAGUCAUAAGCAGGAAACGAACACAAUGUGUUCCAAGAGGGACUACAGGAUCCUGGUGUUGGUGCCGGUUUCAGCACCACGGACAGCAACAGCUCUACAUAAUAAGAAACGACAUAAAAACGACUUCAAACACGUGUAAUUCAGGGUUUGCCGACAUUUAUUGGUGAAUUAACGACCUCUGUUUGAAUAACGCUUUGCUCAGAUUAAGUAUAAAGUUGUGUUAUGUUUAUUUGUGUUUGCGUGAUUUAAAAAAAAACAUCAUCAUCAUCACACCGGAUAUUGCAUUCCUGUCGAGUCCUCGGGCAUUUUAUGGUGUGUAGUUGGAUAAAAGUCGGUGAAGUCAAAGUUCAAGCUUUAGAAAACCAUCAAGACACUCAGUAAUCUCACUGAGAUAUCGUGGGAAUAUGAUGUAACAUACGGCUCGUUGGUCUAGGGGUAUGAUUCUCGCUUAGGGUGCGAGAGGUCCCGGGUUCAAAUCCCGGACGAGCCCAGUUUUGUCUCCCACAGUCCGACAUGGAAAAGGUUUGAAGUAUCACAUGAACAAGUGUUUGACAUUGCUGCCACGUCUUUGUUUGAUGCAGCCAGGCCGUAUGAGUCCCAGUCCACUCGCUGGCCAUCAAACCUUGCUGUAUCUCUA